rnacentral:misc_RNA from 1 species
UCCGGUUUAGCACCGGCAGUCCACCCAGAGUCCCCGCCUUAACGCGCUGGCAACUGGGUGCGGGGGUUGCGCUCGUUGCGGGACUUAACCCAACACCUCACGGCACGAGCUGACGGCAGCCAUGCAGCAUCUGUGCACCCUCCCUUGCGGGUCCCUCGGGUUACCCCUCAGUACCAGGUGCAUGUCAAGCCGAGGUAAGGUUCUGCGCGUUGCAUCGAAUUAAACCACACGCUCCGCUGCUUGUGCGGGCCCCCGUCAAUUCCUUUGAGUUUUAGCCUUGCGGCCGUAGUCCCCAGGCGGCGGACUUAAUGCGUUAGCUGCGGCGCCGAGGGGGUCGAUACCCCCGACACCUAGUCCGCAUCGUUUACGGCGUGGACUAC